GACGAACGCUGGCGGCGUGCUUAACACAUGCAAGUCGAACGGUGAAGCUCCAGCUUGCUGGAGUGGAUCAGUGGCGAACGGGUGAGUAACACGUGAGCAACCUGCCCCAGACUCUGGAAUAAGCGCUGGAAACGGCGGCUAAUACUGGAUACGAGAUCAAGCCGCAUGGUUAUGGUCUGGAAAGUUUUUCGGUUUGGGAUGGGCUCGCGGCCUAUCAGCUUGUUGGUGAGGUAAUGGCUCACCAAGGCGACGACGGGUAGCCGGCCUGAGAGGGCGACCGGCCACACUGGGACUGAGACACGGCCCAGACUCCUACGGGAGGCAGCAGUGGGGAAUAUUGCACAAUGGGCGAAAGCCUGAUGCAGCGACGCCGCGUGAGGGAUGACGGCCUUCGGGUUGUAAACCUCUUUCAGCAGGGAAGAAGCGAAAGUGACGGUACCUGCAGAAGAAGCACCGGCUAACUACGUG
rnacentral:rRNA from 1 species